rnacentral:rRNA from 1 species
AUGGAUGACAUGAGCGAGAGGACAAUGGUGCCACUUGUUGAGCAUAGGGUUGUGGUUGAUGCCCCCAAUGCUUAUCGCCAACCACGUCCCCGUGUACCAUCUAUUGAAGCAAAUAAGGUUGAGUUGUAUGCCCCGAAUGCUUCUAGCCAACCACCAACUAGCCAAGCAAAUGAAGUUGAGGUGAUUGCUAGUGACGAAGUAAUUCAAGAGGAUGAAGAUGCUUAUGAUGACGACGAAGAGCAAGAGGCCAUAACGCAAAAGGACAUGGAUCCUGAGUUGCCUUUUAGGCAUCAAUAUGCGUAUGAAUCGGAUGACGAGGGUCCAGUUGAACAGUUGGACGAGGAUGGAUUCACAAAGGAGGAAAACCAAAUCCACUUUGAGUUGACGGGCUUAGAAAAAAGAACUCAUUUGUUUAAAGAUCUCAGCCUUGCCCAUAAAGCUGUUGUUGACGGUGGAAUGAGAAUGGCGACGAUUGAGCCAACACCAUGCCCGGAUCCAGGAGAACCAAGGGUGGAGAAUGAGGACGAGAAUGCUUAUUUGAAGAAAGGAGUGAAGUUUCUGAGCUUGCCUAUGCUGAAGUUUUGGUUGGCCGACUAUGCCAUUCGGAACCAUAGGCCAAUUUAUGUUGAGCACUCCGACAUGAAGUUGCGUUACACCGUGAAGUGUGAGCAAGAACGAUGCCCAUGGAAGGUUCGUGCAAGAAAGCUUAAAGAGACCGAAGAAUGGGUGUUAAGAAGUUGUGUUGCCACUCAUAGGUGCAAACCGCCAUCUAAACGACUUCGAACGACACACCGUCAACUCACAUCUGAGUAUCUCGGAUACAAAUGGAUGAAAGACAUAGGCUUUGAUUCCACUGUGAAAGUGAUGUUUCUCAUGCGGACGGUGAAAAACCAAUUUGGUUAUGAAGUCAAGUAUGGGAAAGCAUGGAAGGCAAAGGCAAAUGCUAUUAGGAUGUUGUAUGGUGGUUAUGAAGAAGCAUACAACCAGCUCCCGAGGUUGUUGGGCGUGAUUGCACAUAAGAACCCGGGCAUGUUUCAUGUGGUCGAGGAUCACGAGGGAGUGUUCCACCGUGCCUUCUGGAGUUAUGGACAAUGUGUGGAGGCGUUUCAGCAUUGUCGUCCGGUCUUGUCUGGUUGCAUUUGCUUUGGUGCCUUCCGAGCACCAAGACAACUAGGAGUUGAUCAUGGGUCAUGUUAG